AAAAGCUUUACAGAUAAGCAAAAGCUAAGAGAAUUCAGCACCACCAGACCAGCUUUGCAACAAAUGCUAAAGGAACUUCUCUAAGCAGAAAAUAAAAGGCCACUACUAGAAUCAAGAAAAUUAGGAAUGGAAAAGCUCACUGGCAAAGGGAAACAUACAGUAAAGGCAGUAAAGGUAAGAAAUCAUCUGCACACAAAUAUAUCAAAACCAGUGAUUGUGAGAAGAGGAGAGCACAAAUGCAGGCUAUUGGAAAUGCAUUGGAAAUUAAAAGACUAGCAACUUGAAACAAUUUUGUUUAUAUAUAGACUGCUAUAUCAAAACCUCAUGGGAAUGGCAAAACAAG